CCUACGGGUGGCAGCAGUGGGGAAUAUUGCACAAUGGGCGCAAGCCUGAUGCAGCCAUGCCGCGUGUGUGAAGAAGGCCUUCGGGUUGUAAAGCACUUUCAGCGGGGAGGAAGGCGUUAAGGUUAAUAACCUUGGCGAUUGACGUUACCCGCAGAAGAAGCACCGGCUAACUCCGCGCCAGCAGCCGCGGCAAUACGGAGGGUGCAAGCGUUAAUCGGAAUUACUGGGCGUAAAGCGCACGCAGGCGGUCUGUCAAGUCGGAUGUGAAAUCCCCGGGCUCAACCUGGGAACUGCAUUCGAAACUGGCAGGCUAGAGUCUUGUAGAGGGGGGUAGAAUUCCAGGUGUAGCGGUGAAAUGCGUAGAGAUCUGGAGGAAUACCGGUGGCGAAGGCGGCCCCCUGGACAAAGACUGACGCUCAGGUGCGAAAGCGUGGGGAGCAAACAGGAUUAGAUACCCCGGUAGUC
rnacentral:rRNA from 1 species